UCCGGCUUAUCACCGGCAGUCCCCCUAGAGUGCCCAACUUAAUGCUGGCAACUAAACACAGGGGUUGCGCUCGUUGAGGGACUUAACCCGACAUGCCACCACACGAGCUGACGACAGCCAUGCAGCACUGUCUCUUUGUUGUAUUGCUACAAAAGUGUGAUCUCUCACAUUGUCAAAGGAUGUCAAACCUAGGUAAGGUUCUGCGCGUUGCUUCGAAUUAAACCACAUAAUCCACCGCUUGUGCGGGCUCCCGUCAAUUCCUUUGAGUUUUAGUCUUGCGACCGUACUUCCCAGGCGGGGUACUUAUUGCGUUAGCUCCGGAUCGGCAGGGGUCAACUCCCACCAAUCCUAGUACCCAUCGUUUACAGCGUGGACUAC
rnacentral:misc_RNA from 1 species